GACGAACGCUGGCGGCGUGCUUAACACAUGCAAGUCGAACGGAAAGGCCCUGCUUUUGUGGGGUGCUCGAGUGGCGAACGGGUGAGUAACACGUGAGUAACCUGCCCUUGACUUUGGGAUAACUUCAGGAAACUGGGGCUAAUACCGGAUAGGAGCUCCUGCUGCAUGGUGGGGGUUGGAAAGUUUCGGCGGUUGGGGAUGGACUCGCGGCUUAUCAGCUUGUUGGUGGGGUAGUGGCUUACCAAGGCUUUGACGGGUAGCCGGCCUGAGAGGGUGACCGGCCACAUUGGGACUGAGGUACGGCCCAGCAUCCUACGGGAGGCAGCAGUGGGGAAUAUUGCACAAUGGGCGGAAGCCUGAUGCAGCAACGCCGCGGGCGGGAUGACGGCCUUCGGGUUGUAAACCGCUUUCGCCUGUGACGAAGCGUGAGUGACGGUAAUGGGUAAAGAAGCACCGGCUAACUACGUG
rnacentral:rRNA from 1 species